UUUCACUCCAACCCAUGUGACCAUACCAAACUGUUGCCUCGGCGGGGUCACGCCCCGGGUGCGUCGCAGCCCCGGAACCAGGCGCCCGCCGGAGGGACCAACCAAACUCUUUCUGUAGUCCCCUCGCGGACGUUAUUUCUUACAGCUCUGAGCAAAAAUUCAAAAUGAAUCAAAACUUUCAACAACGGAUCUCUUGGUUCUGGCAUCGAUGAAGAACGCAGCGAAAUGCGAUAAGUAAUGUGAAUUGCAGAAUUCAGUGAAUCAUCGAAUCUUUGAACGCACAUUGCGCCCGCCAGUAUUCUGGCGGGCAUGCCUGUCCGAGCGUCAUUUCAACCCUCGAACCCCUCCGGGGGGUCGGCGUUGGGGAUCGGGAACCCCUAAGACGGGAUCCCGGCCCCGAAAUACAGUGGCGGUCUCGCCGCAGCCUCUCCUGCGCAGUAGUUUGCACAACUCGCACCGGGAGCGCGGCGCGUCCACGUCCGUAAAACACCCAACUUCUGAAAUGUUGACCUCGGAUCAGGUAGGAAUACCCGCUGAACUUAAGCAUAU
rnacentral:rRNA from 1 species